rnacentral:lncRNA from 1 species
AGUGAUACCAGCUGAAAACCGAAGUUUACAUUCCAUCUUCAAAAUGAGAUACUGCAAGAAUGCCAAAAAUCCAGCACAGCCUUCUCAAGUAACAAUCCAAUCCUUGAGGGGACAUUGGGAUUUUGAGUUGUGGAAUUUUCCACCCAUUUAUCCUUUCAUUUUCAGUCUUCUUUGCCUCAAAGUGUCAGUUGGCUCCUCUGAGUCACAGCUGUACAAAUCACAGGACUAUUUUUUUAAUUGGCACCAGGCAUAUACAUUAUUCAUCUAUUUGGUUUCAUCUGAAGCAAAUCAAAUAAAGAAGCACUUUUAUUUUCCAAUGAAAUAUUCAAAGCUGCUUUUUCCCCACAAGAGACUAGGCAGAAAACUCCAUCCAUGAUCUAUCACAUCUCUGCACAGCCAGCAAAGAGAUCUUGUUAUAACAGAGAUGAGAUCCCCAUCACUUCUCUGCUUAAAACUCUGUAAGGCAUUCCUCUGAACCAUGGUCCAUAUGACUUGGGAUUCCUCCUCCUUGGACAUGCUAGACUCAUUAAGCCACAGGACCUUUGCAGUUACUGUUCACUCUCCCUGAACUGCUAUUCCCCAGAUUACUUAAGAUAAUCUCAGUCAUUUAUUUCUGCACCAUCAUGCCUGCAUGCCUCUGUCUCCAAGGUGAGAUCUCUGUUGACUGAUUAACUGGCUCUGGAAAAGGAAAGAUUUCAAUCUUGGACUCUGAGUUUUCUGUAACUCAGUGAGUCACUAUCUUUACUAGGAAUAAGAAUAUCAGAUAUGAAUGAAAGCUGCAAAGAAGCCAGAAAGAUAGAGCCCAGAGUCUCCCAAGAUUGUCUCUCUCAUUGCAUACACAAAGGAGACUCUGAAAUGGGACACUGGAUUUACAAAAAUAAGAAGAAAUAAUAGCUUCUUCCAUAAUAGAAAUUAGGCUAAGAAGAGAAACUGAAGGCAUAUGAUGCUGUAAUUGAACAGAAACAAUAAUAAUAAAGACAGUUUGUAAUGUGGAACACUUGGAAAGAAAUUAAUAAAUGAUGGAUAGAAAUCUUUCUGAGACUGAAAACUGAGUAAUUCUCUUACAGGACCAAAACAUUUCCUUCAGGGAACCACUAUGGCUAGGAAAUUGAGACAAGAUUUCCUACUCACCUGCCCACAAUGUGCUC